rnacentral:lncRNA from 1 species
AUUAACCAAUAGCAAAUCAAAUCAUUCUCCAGAUAAUGCUAACUAAUUAACAAAUAGCCAACCAACUCUAAAAUAAUGCUUUUCAUGUUGCCUUAGAUUCUCCAAUAAUGCUUAUCAAAUCUCUCGUGUAAUCAUAUAAUGUGUUUGUACCCAUAUUUUCUAAUAUUUACAAUAUUGCUUUAUGAUUUGUACCUAACUGUCCUCAAUAUGUUUCUGGUCAUUGAGAUAUCUUUGUAAUCAUACAAGAACUGGAGAUCUUUGCUUCAAAUAGCAAUUCAAACAUCACGUGCUAAAAAACUAAAGAGAAAAAGAAUCAACAAAAAGAAACUGCCCUAAGAAACCAUUAGACAUUCAGCAUGCAUAGCAGUGUAGGCUAAAUGCUCAAGAGUCUCAAUCAAAUAGACUUGAGGCAUCAUACUAUAUAUCCAACAAAAGCUUUCAAGAUAGUCCCAUUUGAAACUAGAUGUGACAUUCUACCAAGAAAUAAGCCUCCUUCGUGCUAGGAUCUAAUCCUAUUUUGCUUCUUAGUACUGAAGAUGAGAACCUGACAAAAUAUAAACCAAAAGAUUAGGCAGCCUAUAUAUUUUCUUUGCAAACUAUUAUAUUAUGAGGCAGUUAUGAAAUGAUAUCAAGAGGAAAGAAAAUGAGUCAGCCAAGAGGUAUACUUGAAAGGCAAACCAGAAAGUAUCUCAGCCGUUACCUAUGCACAUAAUCACUAUUAAUGGGUAGCUUUAAUUGGAAUAAUCAGUAAACCAAAGCAAUCAUCAGAGAAUAUCCUCUAUCCUAACAGUUACAAUAGGAGACAUUAUUGGAUAAAAAAUAUGAGAAAAAUUGAUUCAGCCCUGUAGGAAAUUAAAAGAGAUGCAAACCAGAAGUCAUGGUUGUUUGGCAUAUUCCAUUUCAAUUACACACUCAUGAGUAACCAACAUGAAUGAAAAUAGUUAUUGAGCGGUUUCAAAGUGGGUAACUAGAAAGCAAAACGCAGUGCAAUAUGAUUAGUAUAAAAAAGGCAUACAACUAUCAAAGGAGAGAAUAUACACAAGCAUACCUAUCAUGAAAAAACACUACACACAUACAAGAAAAUCAGAGAGAAAUAGACUACAAUACUGAGAGAGCAUACUGAUAGGGGGAUAUACACAUACAUAUAUCACACAACAUAGCAAAACAACCAUAAAAAAGAAGAGAAAUAAAACAAACAUCACAUAUACGCAGAUAGAGAGAUUUUUUGACACAUGUUCAUUACUACCUACAUCUUUUCUCAUACACUAUCAUCUUGUUCUCUGUCUUCAUAACCAAAUUUCUGUAUCGAGCAUGACCUCUUCAUAUACGACGAUCUAUCAAAAGAUAAUCGUACAAAAACCAGAGAGCUUGUAUACGAAUUCAGAAUAUAAGGUGCAUAAAGAAAUUAAAAGUGUAAACACUAUCCGGACUAAAGAGGUUUCUGGGAUGAGGAAUUAUAAAGGAGUAUCAACAAAAGGAAGUAACCAACACCACCAGGUGCAUUGUUUUAAUAAACCGACAAUCCAUGUUAGCAUUUUAUUUUAGCAUCAGCAAUCAUCAUACUAUACCAUGUUUAUCAUUACAUAAUUUACAUCUUUAGGUGUAUUUUGCUGUUUAUACCCACAUCUUAACAACACACAUGCUUUAGUACAAAGAACACCAACAUCAUUUCUACCCACUAUUGAUAAUAUGCAUAACAUAUUGGUAUCUACACAAAACACAAUUUUUAUCACUAAAUCAAACAUGAAUAUACAUAGCCAUAAGGCGCGUCUAGAACCAUUGAUAAAGUAUUCGAAGUAAGAAUUGGGAGUAUGAAAUAUACCUUAAGUGACAUCACCAUUCCAAAAGCUUUGCUACUCCUAUGUUGUUGGUCUUGAGUAGACCCAAAUCAGCCCACCAUCUAGUCCUCGAUGUAGAUCGCAGCCUCGGCGCCUCCGACAUCAAUCGGUUCAAGCGAGGAUGGACUGAAACUUCUAUUUGUAUGGAAAUGUCUCCACCUCCUUCGUUGAUGUGUGCUUCAGUUCCACUAUGACUGGCUCAUCACCAUCACAACUCCCUCAGGACCAGAAUUGUUGUCGUUCUUCGCUGCCAUAGAUGGAGAUGAGAUGUUAAAGAGGGAUUUAUAAUUUUCAUCCCUUUUAUUUCUUUAAUUUUAUUU